AUGCAGAAAGGGUGCUGGCUUGCUUUUAUCACAUCAAAGCCUGAUAACAGCAAUUCUGUGCUUACCAACCUCCCUCAUGAGCGUAUACAGCAUCCACAGAUGCCUUUGAAGACUUCUGCUGAGGAUCAUGGACCAUGUCCUAGUUCUCUAAUCCUGCAAGGAGAUAACAGUCCCACAAUGGAGGAAAUGGGCAAAAGUGAUGGAAUCAGUGAGCUGAAACAUCUGCACAUCACCAGCAGCUGCCACUGCCCUCAAGGAAAUCUUCCAGAGAAGUCCUUUGAAGGCAAAUUGCUUACCCAAAAAAGCACUUGGAUAAGUGAAGGAUACAGGAGAGUAGAAGAGAGAUCCCAAGAUAUAUUAUGGCCUGCAGAGGACAGUGGUUAUUUACAAGUAUCUCUAGAGCAGGUAACAUCUGGGGCAGCAAGGAGGAGAACCACAAAGAGGAAUAAAGGUUACCUGAUAAGAUAUUAGAUACAGGUAAGUACACAGCUCAGUGGCCUACUUACUUGCAUGCCAACACCUUCACAGUGAUGUAUGCUCCUCCAUGAAUAUGCAUAAAGUUAUUACUUUUUUUUUACUGUGUCAGGUUAGCACUAAACCCAAGAAUCUAAGGUCGAUUAUUUAUAUUUUUCAUUACUAGUAAAUAAAAGGGCUGUUAAUUGGCA
rnacentral:lncRNA from 1 species